rnacentral:lncRNA from 7 species
GAUUUCUUCAAGGGAAUACUCCUAGUGGCAUAAGGCCUAAUGAUGACACUUCUGCUAGUAGCCAAGUGGAUUGUCUUGUGGUUGCUCACAGGAUGUCUCUAAAGUGGAGGAAUGCCACGUUGUUUAGAGAACAUGACUCAUUCACAGCUACACUUAAAGACCAAUACUCUUUAAGAGAUGAGGAAGUAUCAUUGGUCUCAUCUGCAAAAGCAGCAGUUUGAGUAAGAAAGAAAGGCUACACCAAAGGCCUAGGAAUAAUCAGCCAAGCAAGAAGCUCAUGUUUCCAGGCCCUGCCGAUAGAAUAGCUAACAAUACUGAAUCAGGACCUUAUGUGAUCCUGGUACUCAGGAGAGCUGCAAGUUAAACAUCAGAAGAAACCAUCCAAUUUGGCAUUAACUUUGUGUCCUUGACACUGAAAUAUUGUUUCCUAUGGUGUCUUCAUCCAGAUCAAUUCUAAGUGCCCUGCACACUUUCCUUACCAGGCAUUUUGACAACAUAACCUUCUGAUACUGAGGCGUGAUUUAUACAGAUAUUGAAACUGUCCCUCCUGAAUUUUCAUACCUACUGUCUUAUACUAUGGAUAUCAUCCUAAAUAAUUCUUCUUCUGUUGUUAUUGUAUGUACCCUCCAAAGGCUUGAGAUGGCAAUAUCUCUUCUUUUACAACUUGAAAACCAAAUUGUGUGUAAUGCUUAAGCAAAUUAAUCACUGUUUAUUCCCUGAGGUUUUUUUUUCUUGAAACUCUAGUGAAUGGUCAUUAUUUUCAGCCAUGUCUGCAUUAGUUGCCAGAGUGGCAAACUACUAUUUACUGUGUGGAGCAAAACUAUUAACAGUGUAUUUGUUGUAAAGCAAAACUUCAGAAUGACUCUGGUCAUGCAAAUGCAAAACUUGUGAGUUCAAAUACAUUUCCCUGUCCUGAGUUACGUAAAAGGGGCCAACACAGUUGACUUCUAAUAUUGUGUCCGCUCUACAAACCAAAGAGUAAUAAAUGAGGAUGAGUGAGAUGUAUUUUCAAAGCACACUCCUAUCCCAUCUGAGACAGUGCAAGAAAGGCAAUGCCAGAUAACCAGUUCUAAAUGAACCAAAGAAGGGGUGAUGUUCAUAAUCCAGUCAAAGAAAUGUUUGUUUACCUGUUCCAAGUAUCAGGGCUUGCCAAAUACUCCAAGAAAUGAGAUCUCCAGGUUGAGAUCCUUCUCCUGUGGUAGCCAGCCCUUAAAUAAGGCUUAGGGAGGUGAAUUGCAUUCCCCGUGCUCCCAGGGCUGGCUGUGUCCCUUCACCAGGUACUCAGUCAUUGUUUCAGGCUGUGACUUAACAAUUCCCCUUAUCUCUGCAGCUCAAAGUGUCCUUGUGAAAAUUCACCAUGGCAGAUGGAAAAAGCCAAAUUUCAAUUGAAGUUACUAUACACUAUCUUACAGGCUUUUACUGUUUUGCCAGACUUCAUUUUUUUUAUUUAACACUCCUGCUACAGGUUGUAUAUUCUCAAAUAUAUUCAGUUGUAUCUUCUCUGAUCAGAAUCUUAUAUAAGGCCCUACUUUUUGUAAUGGUAAGGACUAGUCACUGAAACAAUGUACCUGGGGUCAUGAUAAACUCUCUAAAAUGUGAAGCUUUUAAAUUAAGAUUUGAUUUAUUUCUCAAAUAGAGGUCCUUGCUCAUCCUGAAGUUAUGAAAUUGAUGCAGGAAUCACUUCUUAAAAUUCUGUGGCUUGUGCUGUUCAGGAGGUCAGUCUGUGUUAUUAUAGUUCCUGCUGGUCUUAAAAUUUAUGGAACUACAAAACAUUUUAUAUAUUUUGUGUAUAUUACUAAUUCUGUCUCUUUAUGUACUGUUUCUCUUUCCUUGGAGGUUUUCAUAACACCUUCCAAAUGAAUUUAGUAUUGUCUCUGAAUUUUAUGUACUGUGUAUUCAACUGAAUACAUUGUCAUUUAUCAGUGCACUGUUUGUGGUCCUUCA